ACCAAUUGAAUCAAAGACUAUCUUUUAAAAGCAGGUCACACAGCUGCUAAUUGUUCUGUGUGGGGAACAUGUGAGGGGAGAAGAAAAGACACACAUACAAUACCUGUAAGGGUAAACAACCUUUAUCCCAUGUAAAUGGCAAUGCAGAUAUAAUAAGCAAAUGAUAUAAUAAGCAAAUUGAUAUAAUAAGCAGAUUGAUAUAAUAAGCAAAUUGCAAUGGGAAGGGGAGAAGGAAAAGAUACAUACAUACAUAUAUAUACAUGUAUAUAUAUGUAUACACAUAUACACUCACCAGACUAUGGAGGAUUC
rnacentral:lncRNA from 1 species